GUUUAUUUUGUUCUUAUUUAUUCAUUUACGUGUUUAAAUAUGAGUAAAACUAUUAAAAGUGGAGUUCGAGAGAUAUUGUUCUACAUGAUAUCCAAAUUCCAAGAAAAAGAAGCUGAAUUCUACCAAAAACAAGAUUGUUUACGUGUGGUGUUGAAUUUCUUAGGAAAUCUGGAGGAUGUAGAAGGAUUCGAUGCAAUAGUGAGAACUAUUGGUAAGCUCACUGAUUUAAAGCAGAUAGAUUGAAUAAAAUCCCAGAACCAAUAUUUUAAAGAAAUCGCUUCCAUCACUGGUGUAAGUGUAAUAUCAUCAGAAUAAAAAAAGAAAGGGCAACAAAUCAAGGUGUCUGGACUACACCUGAAAAAAAACGACCUCAUAAACCAACAGUGUCUCAUUCGGACGAUUUUGACAUGGAUGCUAUUCGCAACAAAAUUAAUGAAUUUUAUAUUGUUAGAAAACAAGUUCCACCAUUGAGAACACUUUUGCUGGAAUUAAGAGAAAGCAUAGGAUUUACCGGAUGUCAGGAAACUCUUCACCAAAUAUUAUUGGCUAAUAGCUCUGAAUUUAAGAAAAACAAAAAUGAAUGUUCUUUGUUAAUUGAGCGUAACAUAUCUGCCUGGAGACAUUACUAUUUAAGAUGCAGAAAGAAAGCUAAUAACAUAUUUAGAUGAAACUUGACCAUAAAAUCUACAAACCAAAAAAUUGUGGCAUGGUCCACAAGUACAUAGUCUACAAGUGGUGCUAUUCAAAAAUAUUUCAGCUGGAAAAAGGUCCAUAAUUGUACAAGCAGUCUAGGAGAAAGGUCCUGUGCCAAAGUCAUUAUUAGUAUGUAGCACUAAAUCAAAAAUGGCUGAUUAUUACCAUGAUAUGAAUGCUGCCAACUUCAAUAAGUGGUUAGAAGAAAAGCUCCUACCUAAUUUAAAUGAGUAAAUAAAGCCCCAACGACACAGAAUCGCAAACAUGAGAUAAGAGAAUGGCUUACUUUGAAUAAUAUUCAAUUUGAAGAGUACCAUAUGAAAGCAGAAUUGCUGUCUAGUAAAACGGUAUAAACCAGAGCCAAUAUAUGAAGCUGAUGAAAUUUCAAAGCAUGGUGGUCAACAUGUGAGUUCAUUAAAGAGUCAUUUGAAAAUGUAACAGCAGAAGAGUGGAAGAAAAUGACUGAUCAUGUUGUACAUGUGGAAAAGAAAUAUAAACAAAGGGACAGGACUAAAGAGGAACAUUUAUAAAAUUUCAUAAUCAAUGUGAGAGACAGUGAUAACAGCAAUAACUCUGAUGAAUCUAUGCAUAUUGAUUUUUUGGAUUCUGAUUUUGAUUAUUCCUAAUAAAGUUGUGUUUUAUAAUAAAUA